rnacentral:rRNA from 1 species
UAGCUAGUUGGUGGGGUAAAGGCCUACCAAGGCGAUGAUGGUUAACCGGCCUGAGAGGGUGUUCGGUCACACUGGAACUGAGAUACGGUCCAGACUCCUACGGGAGGCAGCAGUGAGGAAUAUUGCGCAAUGGGCGAAAGCCUGACGCAGCGACGCCGCGUGGAGGAUGAAGGUCUUCGGAUUGUAAACUUCUGUUAAGUGGGAAGAAAGGGCUGCUUUUAAUAGAAGCAGUUAAUGACGGUACCAUUAAAGAAAGCACCGGCUAAACUCGUGCCAGCAGCCGCGGUAAUACGAGUGGUGCAAGCGUUAUUCGGAAUAAUUGGGCGUACAGGGUGUGUAGGCGGUAUGUUAAGUCUGUUGUUAAAGACUCCGGCCUAACCGGAGACAGGCAGCGGAAACUGGCGUACUAGAGGGUGGAAGAGAGAAGUGGAAUUCUCGGUGUAGCGGUAAAAUGCGUAGAUAUCGAGAGGAACACCGAUGGCGAAGGCAGCUUCUUGGUCCAUACCUGACGCUGAAACACGAAAGCGUGGGGAGCAAACAGGAUUAGAUACCCUGGUAGUCCACGCUGUAAACGAUGAUCACUAGACGUUGGUUCUGUUUUACAGAAUCAGUGUCGCAGCUAACGCG